rnacentral:rRNA from 1 species
UACGUAGGUGGCAAGCGUUGUCCGGAAUCAUUGGGCGUAAAGCGCGCGUAGGUGGCUCUAUAAGUCCGUUGUGAAAGUCAAAGGCUCAACCUUUGAAAGCCGAUGGAUACUGUAGAGCUAGAGUCCGGAAGAGGCGAGUGGAAUUCCUGGUGUAGCGGUGGAAUGCGCAGAUAUCAGGAGGAACACCAAUAGCGAAGGCAGCUCGCUGGGACGUGACUGACACUAAGGCGCGAAAGCGUGGGGAGCGAACAGG